GAUGAACGCUAGCUACAGGCUUAACACAUGCAAGUCGAAGGACCGGCGCACGGGUGAGUCGCACGUAUCCAACCUUCCCUUUACUCGGGGAUAGCCUUUCGAAGGACAAAUUAAUAACCUAUAUAAAGGAUGGGGAGGCGUUCCAUUAGGUUGUUGGUGAGGUAACGGCCCACCAAGCCUUCGGUGGAUAGGGGUUCUGCGAGGAAGGUGCCCCACAUUGGAACGGAGACGCUACGCAAACUCCUACUGGAGGAAGCAGUGAGGAAUAAUGGUGAAUGGGCGGUAGCAUGAAGCAGCCAAGUAGCCGGAAGGAUGAAGGCGUAUGGGUGGUGAAAUUCUUUUACAUAAGCAUGUGUAUGAUGUGAAUAAGGGUCGGCUAACUACGUGCCAGCAGCCGCGGUAAUUC
rnacentral:rRNA from 1 species